UACAGAGGGUGCAAGCGUUAAUCGGAAUUACUGGGCGUAAAGCGCACGUAGGCGGAUAUUUAAGUUGGUUGUGAAAGUCCUGGGCUUAACCUGGGAAGGCCAAUCAAAACUGGGUAUCUAGAAUAUGAUAGAGGGUAGUGGAAUUUCCAGUGUAGCGGUGAAAUGCGUAGAUAUUGGAAGGAACAUCAGUGGCGAAGGCGGCUACCUGGAUUAAUAUUGACGCUGAGGUGCGAAAGCGUGGGGAGCAAACAGG
rnacentral:misc_RNA from 1 species